CGAACGAGAACGCUUUAGGCUUGCCGAGAGCAAGUAAAGUGGCGCACGGGUGAGUAACGCGUGGAUAACCUACCUCUAAAUUUAGGAUAACAUUGCGAAAGUGAUGCUAAUACUAAAUAAUAUUUAGAUUGCAAAGGCAGAUUGAAUCAAAGGUGGCCAAUACAUGUAAGCUACUGUUUAGAGAUGAGUCCGCGUACCAUUAGCUAGUUGGUAGGGUAAUGGCCUACCAAGGCGACGAUGGUUAGCUGGUCUGAGAGGAUGAUCAGCCACACUGGAACUGACACACGGUCCAGACUCCUACGGGAGGCAGCAGUGAGGAAUUUUGCGCAAUGGGGGAAACCCUGACGCAGCGACGCCGCGUGGGUGAUGAAGGCUUUCGAGUCGUAAAGCCCUGUCAAGUGGGAAGAAAUGUUAUAUGGUUAAUAGCUGUAUGAUUUGACGGUACCGCUAAAGGAAGCACCGGCUAACUCCGUGCCAGCAGCCGCGGUAAUACGGAGGGUGCAAGCGUUGUUCGGAAUUACUGGGCGUAAAGGGCGCGUAGGCGGCUUUUUAAGUCAGGUGUGAAAGUCCACGGCUCAGCCGUGGAAGUGCAUUUGAAACUGGAAGGCUUGAGUAUGGGAGAGGGAAGUGGA
rnacentral:rRNA from 1 species